UUUUUUUUUUUUUAAGAUUUUAUUUAUUUAUUCAUGAGAGAGACAGAGAGAGAAGCAGAGACACAGGCAGAGGGAGAAGCAGGCUCCAUGCAGGGAGCCCGAUGUGGGACUCGAUCCCGGGACCCCAGGAUCAGGCCCUGGGCUGAAGGCGGCGCUAAACCGCUGAGCCACCCAGGCUGCCCCAGUCCUGGGGACUUUGAUCCCUUGUCUUUGUGCAGGCCGAGUCGUGCCUCUCCGCUGUGCCCCAGCACUCCUCACCUUCCUGGCUCUACCCCUAACCCAUCCUAUCCUUCUCUGGGCCUCUGUGCCUCCUUCACUGACCCCUCUUCUCCCUCUGAUUCAAGAUCCCCCUAAGGGAGUCCUUGGCCUCACUUUCCCUUCCUACCCCAUCUGCUCAUCCUCCCUCCUCAUUGCUAGUCCCAAAUUUUUAAAUGCCUGUGAGAUAUUUCCACUUGGAAGUUACAGCGUCCCCCCGCCCAGCUUCAUAUUUUGAAAACAGGCUUUUCUUGUCCCUCAGACUCAUUCUCCAUCCUGUCUCCACUCUUUCUUUAUCAUCAUUCUUCACAUUAGCCGUGAAAUGAUCUCUGAGAAGCUGACCCCGGGGUCCUUUUGCUCAGUGUUUCUGCUGGUGAGUGCAGCUGUCCCCAAACCAAGAAGCCCGUGUGACCCACACUCCGUCGCUCCUCAUAGGGAGGAGCAAGUCCCUGCAGAUGGGCUCGAGGCAGGAAUUUGAAGACCAGGGGGACACUGCUCAGCGACCAGUGCCUUACAGCCCUGUGUCACGGAAGAAGCUGGGUCCAGCCUGUGCCUGCCGUCCAGUGCGUGACCUCGAACAGCCACUUAAUCUUUCCGCCCCUCAGCGUUCCCGGGCGCAGUGGUACCCACUUGACCAGCUGUCAUUCUCAUUAAAUGAGAUAAAUGCCUGUGAAAACACUUAGCACGUGGUAAGCACUGAAUAGAUGUUUGUGAAAUCUGAAUCACAACGAAGGGAAAUGAAAAUAAGGGGAAGCUGCUUUCACUCUGCGAUCGGGGCCUGCAGGGGCCUGCAGGAGCAGCCGUGGGGCUGUGUGGGGGCGGGCUGGGCCCUCUGGGAGGAAAUGGCCUCUUUGGAUGACACAGCCUCCGCCUGUACACACCCACUCCGCCUCAGAAACCAUGCAAGUCGAAAACCCCCAAAUCACGGAGUGGGUGGUGAGAAGUUGACUCUGUAGCAGCUGCUAAUUAGGAAAUCCUACUCCUGGGCUCCGCUAGCAUCCCUGAUGUUGGUUCACAAACAGAUGUUUUGGAACAUUAAGGCACCGCAGAAGUGCAAGUUGUCAACUUGGGGGGAAAAAAAAACCCUAGUCAAAGCAAUGAAAGUGUCUCGUUCAUUUAAUAGCCGUUCAUAGUACAAGGGAACGAGAUGGCCUGACACGGGGGCUGAGUGCAGGGGGAAGGGUGGUACGUCCAGCUCUGAAGAUACCCGGGAGGUUGGGACCUCUAAACUCCACUAUGAGGCUGGUUGGCGUGGCUCGGUUGCUGUGGCACGUGGGUGG
rnacentral:lncRNA from 1 species